UGAGGAAUAUUGGGCAAUGCCCGAAAGGGUGACCCAGCAACGCCGCGUGGAGGAUGAAGGUCGUAAGAUUGUAAACUCCUGUUAGAGGGGAAGAAUAACUAAGUUUGGAGCUUAGUAUGACUGUACCCUCAGAGAAAGCCCCGGCUAACUACAUGCCAGCAGCCGCGGUAAUACGUAGGUGGCAAGCGUUGUCCGGAUUUACUGGGCGUAAAGGAUGCGUAGGCGGAUACUUAAGUCAGAUGUGAAAAUCCCGGGCUUAACUUGGGAACUGCAUUUGAAACUGGGUAUCUAGAGUGCGGGAGAGGAAAGUGGAAUUCCUAGUGUAGCGGUGAAAUGCGUAGAGAUUAGGAAGAACACCAGUGGCGAAGGCGACUUUCUGGACCGUAACUGACGCUGAGGCAUGAAAGCGUGGGGAGCAAACA
rnacentral:rRNA from 1 species